UUUUUUUUUUUUUUUUUUUUUUUUUUUUUUUUUUUUUUUUUUUUUUU
rnacentral:ribozyme from 2 species